ACUCCUACGGGAGGCAGCAGUGGGGAAUAUUGGACAAUGGGCGAAAGCCUGAUCCAGCCAUGCCGCGUGUGUGAAGAAGGCCUUCGGGUUGUAAAGCACUUUAAGCGAGGAGGAAGGUUUGUUACUUAAUACGUAACGGAAUUGACGUUACUCGCAGAAUAAGCACCGGCUAACUCUGUGCCAGCAGCCGCGGUAAU
rnacentral:rRNA from 1 species